ACCCUAUAUUGCCUUUUGUCACUAAGGCAAAAGGUGAAAGCGAGGCUGUCAAAGGCUUCGGCUCAAAGAGGGGUUCGCGUCCUAUCAGGUAGUUGGUGGGGUAAUGGCCUACCAAGCCAAUGACGGGUAGCUGGUCUUAGAGGAUGAUCAGCCACAGUGGGACUGAGACACGGCCCGCACCCCUACGGGGGGCAGCAGUGGGGAAUCGUGGGCAAUGGGCGCAAGCCUGACCCCGCAAUGCCGCGUGAGGGAAGAAGCCCUUCGGGGUGUAAACCUCUGUCAGAUGGGAAGAUGGGACUAGGGGCUAAUACCUCCUGGUCUUGACGGUACCAUCAGAGGAAGGGACGGCUAACUACGUGCCAGCAGCCGCAGUAAUACGUAGGUCCCGAGCGUUGCGCGAUGUUACUGGGCGUAAAGCGUCCGUAGCUGGUUUCGUAAGCGGAUUGUCAAAGCCCGAAGCUCAACUUCGGCAGGGCAUUCCGAACUGCGUUACUUGAGUCCUGUUCAGGUAGGCGGAAUUCCCGGUGUAGCGGUGAAAUGCGUAGAUGUCGGGAGGAACACCAGUGGCGAAGGCGGCCUACUGGGACGGUACUGACGGUCAUGGACGAAAGCUGGGGGAGCAAACCGGAUUAGAUACCCGGGUAGUCCCAGCCGUAAACGAUGGAUGUUAGGUGUAGUGAUAACUUCGCUGCACCCCAGCUAACGCGUUAAACAUCCCGCCUGGGGAGUACGGGCGCAAGCCUGAAACUCAAAGGAAUUGGCGGGGGCCCGCACAACCGGUGGAGCGUCUGGUUUAAUUCGAUGCUAACCGAAAAACCUUACCAGGGUUUGAAAUGGUAGGAAAGGCUGUCGAAAGAUAGCCGUGUUUCCCUUUUGGGAGAAAUCCUACCACAGGUGGUGCAUGGCCGUCGUCAGCUCGUGUUGUGAGAUGUUGGGUUAAGUCCCGCAACGAGCGCAACCCUUGUCCUUAUUUGCUUCCUCUUAUGAGGUGCUCUAUAAGGAGACUGCCGGCGACAAGCCGGAGGAAGGAGGGGACGACGUCAGGUCAGUAUGCCCUUUAUGCCCUGGGCUA
rnacentral:rRNA from 1 species